rnacentral:rRNA from 1 species
AUGUAUAUUCCUACAACAUAGCAUUAAUGCACUAGAUCCCAUUAGAACUCCAUAGUUAAGCACGCUCAGGCUAGAGUAGUACUGGGAUGGGUGAUCGCCCAGGAAGUCCUAGUGUUUUACAUG